AUGUAAAAAUGCAGUCAAGGAAAAAAAUAAUUCUGAAGUAUAUAUGGAACUACAAUUGACGAAGUUUCAGUAGGCCUGUUUGGAGCUAGAUAUUUUGAGAAAAUGCAGUAUCGCUUGCCCUUUUUAUGGUGUUAGCUGAUGAGAUAGAUGCUGUAAAAGUGUGCAGAUCAGUUGUCGCAGUCGUAUAUGGUGCCCCCAGACUUUGUCGUAAGAGUACGCAGCGACUAGUUUUUCAUCGAAUGACCAAUAUUAAGGUUUACGGGCAAGUUACAGAAUUAGGCGACAAGUGCGAAACAAUGCGAAGAAGAACAUGAACACUCUAACGAAGGAUUAUUUUGACAAAAACUUUAAUUUUUUUGAUUUUUGCUCACCUUAUGUGAGAUUUCAUUUCAUUUCCUACAUAGUCAUGAUUCAAGGAAUGAGAGGAUUUGGACAAAUAUGUGCUAUGUGUAUGUCUAUUUUACAUUGAAUUAUCCAUUUGUAAUAAUUUAAGGCAAAAACAUGCUUUAACACCAUUUACAAGAUCACACAGAUGCAUAUUUUGUGUAGAAAAGAGGUUUCAUGCAUUUAGUUGAGAAGGUCAUUAUGAGUCAAGUGUAUAUACUAUCAUCAUGAUUGAAUCUAGGAGCUUUUCAUGGUUUUCAUCCUUAAAAACUGAUGAAUUUCAGUUUACCAGAAAAUGUUUUUAUGCAUUAUAGCCAAAAAAUCAGUUUCUUCCCACAUUUUGAGGGGAGUUCCUUAUUUACAAAAUACAAAUACUUAUAUUUAUGUUUGAAUGACCUAAGAUAUUGAAACAUUAGUCAUUGUUAAAAUGUUUAGAAGGAGAUAUUACUAUUUUUUAUAUGGUAACCUCAGCACACCUGUCCUUUUCUUAGUAAUGAAAGUCAAAAUUUGAAUGAAAUCAUUUCAUGUAACAUGUAUGGGUACAAUAUAGAUGCCCCACCCAUAUCCACAACUAUGGGGGUUGGUAUGAUUCUUUUUUUAGUAUUGUGAUAUGGCAUGCACUUAUGUGAUUUCUCUUGUAAAUAUGCAUAAGAAAUGCAUUGCCUUAUUGAAUUACUCCAUGUAUAUGCUUAUUGCUCUUGCUGUAAAUUAUCUAACAUGUGUCAAUCAUCAUUGAUCAGUAAUUCUCUUCAAAUUCUAUAGGGAUGGCCUGAUGAGGGGUAUAAUUAAGUGUGUCCAAUUGAAAUUUCAUGGCUACUUUUGCUCUACAGAUAGAAUGUUACAUAAAUCACAGAAUGAAGUUGCAUCCCAGUUGUUUCUUUUACAUUUCUUAUCAUCAAAGCAAGAUUUAUGGUUGUCAGAGCAGAUCUGAGCUCCAUUACAUGCUGAUAUCAUUUUGGCUGUCCUGUGUUACAAUGCUGCUUUUAGAUAAAAGUGAGUAUGGCAGUGUGUGGACAAGUAAACAGGCUUUACCUGAUAUAUAAAUUUACCAGAUACAGAUUUCAUUUUUGACCUGAUAAUUCACAAUACAGUUAUGAAAUGUGUGAACAAUAGGGGUAAAUUUCUUCUUUGUUAUGCAAUGAUUGCAUAAUGAAGUGACUCUAAUGGAGUAUUUUGAUUUUGAUUUAAAGAAAAAUAUAUAUGCUCUGAUUUGGUACCAAGGUGAUUUUGUAUCUUGUUGUUUUAAGGAUAAAAAUUGGCUUCAGGUCAUGCAUGGUGUGAGGCUCCAAAUGUGUUUCAUCUGUGCUAUUUUCUUCAGUCUGAGCAAGGGAGAUAAAUCCUCAAUAGCUAAAGAAAUAUUGGGAGCCUGGGGACAGGGUUUUGGGGAUUUGGUGACAGUUGAUUGGGAAUUCUCAGGUGCAAAUUUGAAAGGGAUCUGACAUCUUUAGAGUCUCUUCAAGGUAUCACACCGGUAAUCGGCCAAUCAAAAUGAACUUCGUCAAUUGUAGUUCCAUAUAUACUUCAGAAUUAUUUUUUUCCUUGACUGCAUUUUUACAUUUUCCUUUACUCAGUUUUAAAAUUUUUUGUACCACUGAGUAGGAUAUUUCAUGUACUUUGUUAGGUGAUGAUCUUUUUUCACAGGGACUACUUCUUUCAGGGCACAUGCAGCAGCUUCCUGGGGAGUGUGCAGUCUGUUUACAUACAAAUGGAAAACACGUGGUUUUGAGGGGAGGAAUUGGAAGGCAAAUCCUGUUGAAGCACACCCAGAUGUUCCACAGAUCCUGCAAAACAGUGAAGAUCUGUUGCAGCACAUAAUUACCGUAUAUACUUGUUCUACAGAUUCAACAGGUCAUAAAGGACCGUGUUGCAGAAUAUGUUCAACAGCCUUGCAUAGAGAGCAGUUUGGAAGCGGUUCCUUUUGCAGCACAUGUACAAGAUCUACAGAUUCCAAAGACUAAGGGUAAUACACACUGAAUAGUAGAUAGAAGCUUGUAAUGGUAGUAGCAUCAGCAUUGUCUGGAAGGAACAGUGAAGAUUCUAUUGAAGAACACAAGGAUUAUGUCCCAAGUGGUAUAGAAUCAGUGGAUAAACCAUCAUGCACCACAUUACCAUCAAAGAAAAAAUGGACAAUGGAAUAGGACAUUUGAAUGUUAUAUGGACUUUAAAGAUUAAAGUGUACCAAGAGAGGCAGAAGCACUGAAAGUAAAAAACAAAUGCAAAUUUCUUGCUGAUAGAAGUAUUCAUCAGAAAAAGAGUAAAAUGCAACAUAUGCUGAGACUUAAAUGAGUUAACAAAUUUAGGACAUUUGGUCUUGCAGUAACAAAUGAUUCUGUGAUAAACCCUUUAAAUUUAAACAGUAAUUGGAAGAUUAUCUCCUCAUGAAAUACCCUGGACUUAUUUAUAAACAAGAGUCGUCUGUAUGCUUCAUGUUUUAGAUUGAAGAUUGAAUGUGUAUGUGUUAUAUCUGUAUUACUCUCUCUGCUUCCCAUCUGCAACAUGUGUACCUGUGGUGUAACCUCAUGGUUAGUUUUUAUUCGUUUUAAAAUCUUAAUAUCAGCAAUAAGAUGUUGUAAUUUCUUAUGUGUUACUUUUAUGUUUAAGGUUAAGUGAACAUGAUUGAAAUAUGUAUUGCAUAUAUUGUAAAAGUAUAUUACAAUGUAAUUUAGAAUACGGUACUUAUAGUUUUUAAAAAAGGACAAUCAUAUUAAUAUCUAAUAUUUACAUGUAGUGUAUAUUUCCCCUUAUGUUUGCAGAGGACAUCUGUGACGUUCAAUUUCUCACCUCUGAGUUUUAGCUCUGCUGGCCAUAGACCAGAAGAGUGUAUGCGAUGAUCUGUUUGUGUAGCUUUCUGUUUGUCUCUCUGUGAACAAUUUUCAAAUGCUACUACUAUUACAGCUAUCAAGAAUGUUCACAUAUAUAUACAUGUCUUGUGUUUGAAAUCAUGCAUGACACAUUUUUCUAACUUUGAGAAAUAAAAUAUAUAAUCUUUAACUGACAAAAGUGUUCCCUUAUUAAUGUUGUUUUACCUCUGCAAAUAAAGGUAUCAUGGUAUAAAGGAUUUACCUUGUCUGUCUGUUAAUCUGUGUGUCUACAUUACAAGUGUUGAGGAUGGAUUCCUAUGCCAUAGCAAUAUUUUUGGUGGGGGUUAUGCAUUUGCUGCAGCCUUUAUUUGACACAGAGAUGGUCAUGGUCAUGUAGGGAUUCGUCAUGACCUAGACGUGGUAGUACAUGGACAAGGUGACAAGGAAAAUAAUGAUUUGGGGUAUUACCCUAAUACAAAGUCACAAGGAAAAGCGUAUAGGACAUUUUGAUGUGUCCUAAGCUAUAACCGAGAUAAGUUGUUCACACCUUAAUUUUUACAAGUAGUUUCAAACCAAUGGCAUUUGACACUUUAGGCGUCAAUUAUUUUAGUGAAGAGGUUUUCUGGUCUGUUACCAUAUUCUCUUUGAAGAUAAUUGUAGAAACCAAACUUAGAAAAACAAUGUAUUUGAAGAUAUUUUUUUUUAUCUUUGACACCGGUUAAGGACAAUGUUUUGAUCUAUGUUCAUCUUAUCAAAAGGGGUACACAGACCAAACUUCUUCCUGAGAUGCAUUAACAUAUACUAGUAUAUGAUCAUUUCAAAGCAUGCUAUCU